UAUCGCUGCACUAAUCACCCAAGUCAAAACGAUAUCCAAAAAGGAAACUUUUAUUGAUGGCAAAGUCAAAGUCUGAAAAAGAAACUUCAAAUUCUGUGUUGAGAAGGAAAGAAACAACAAAGGUUUGCAUAGUCACAGAUACUUUAGUUUAUUCAGGAGAUAAAACAACACGAAAGUGUUUUGAGACAUUUAGUUUGAAGAGAGCUGAGCAACGAGGUGUGUGAGAUUGUCUUCCUUUUUGAUACUCUCCACCCAAUUAGCAUUAAUAUGAACCUUUUCAAUGCUCUGCUUCAAGGUUCUUGCCAUUGAAGGCUUCGAUCUCGUUAUGAAAUACUCCUGCACUUCUUUCGCCUUCUCAAACGACGCAAACUGAGACAAUAAAGACAUAAGAGAAUCAGUGAUCGAGCAGAAAGAUCAAAAGCUGUUCAUAGACAAAUGAAAGAGUUUUUAUUAAAAAUAAAAAAGAACUAACCGAAGAUACAACUGCACUUAUGAAGCGAGUUAAGAGAAAACCAGAACCCCAUGUCUUCUCAAUGUACUCCCACUUCUCCUGUAGCCAUUUCCAGGCUACUUCACGUCCUUCCCAACUUACACCGGAAAGUCCAUAAACCGCAUCUUGAUUCCGCACCUGGUCAAAACAAGAAACCCCGUUUCAACAUUAAAUAGUUCAAAGCCUAAUGAUAAGGACGUCUAUAUUAUAUAUAUAUAUAUAUACCUCAUCAGACAAUACAAAGUUAAGAACAUCUUGAACUAUACUGGGGUCUGGGCAACAAGCUAAAGAACCUGCAAAACCACAAAGGAAAACAUUAGUAGUUGAAAUAACAAUCUUCUGUUAGAUUAUUUUCUGGAGAGAUCAGUUAUACCUAAGAUUCGUGUUUUCUCCUGGCUCAGGUCUGUUUCCCUAUACACCUUAAGCAGAGACUCAUAACCAGAUUUGUCUGACUUGUUGGCUCUCUGCAUUACAGCAACAUAAGCAGCCUGCAAAACAAAACAACCAAUACAAAGAUUAGAAUUAUAAGAUCACAAUAUCCACAUUUGGAAGCGAAAUUGGGUUAAUGUAAUAAGAAACAAACCCUUCUAAGGUCAGGAGGCAGAAGUGAAGUGUUCCUAUCAGCUAAGAAUGCAUCAAAUCUUCGAAUUGCUUCCUUGAGUGUCUCAUCAUGCCCAAACGCAGUAAGUGCAGUUAAGACUUCCCCUCUCAGCAUAGCAUCUAGAUGGCUUUCACCUUGUUUUGGGUCCCAACCAAGUCUCCUGUAAAAACAAUGAACAUUGUACCAACAAUAAUUUCCUUUUUCAUUUUUAAAUAAUAAUCUUUUGUUGUUGAUAAGUCUAAACUCUGUAGAUGGGUAAAACAACUCACCCCGCAGCAAGCUGGAAAACGCCGAUGAAAAAUUGUUUAAUCCCAGACGUCAGUUCUGAACUUACAUCUGCUGCAAUCUUCACAACUUUGUAGCUUAUCUGUAUGGAGGAAGAGUAAAAACCAGAGGCACAAGCAUAACUAUGAAACAGGUAAAAUUAAAUACAAAAAAAAGAGAGAUCCUUACAACAAUGAGGUUUGACAGCACGGUAUAGUCAAGUUCCUUCUUGUAAGCACUAAUCAAAGUGAGCAACGAAGCCAGAGAUUGCUGACGAGCCAUACAAAGUGCAAAAGAAUCAUCCAAAAUACCUGUAAAAUAAAAAAUUAUAUAUCUCCAAAGAAGUUGCAUAAUGUCAACAAGAAAAUAAAAACUCUGCCAAGGUUAAAUUACCAUAUCUAUCAAUAGCGGUCAAGCGUUGGCUCUCUGUUGCUUUCCUGAGUCCAGCAGCGAGGCUGUCAUCAUAUUUCACCCUAUAAAACCCAGCCUGAUCGACAUUGAUUUUUAUCCAAGAGCAUGUCCCAUCGCCAAUGGAACAGCCCAGUAACUCCUUUAUAUCAUACGCUCCAGAUUUGGAUUCCAACAAGAAGUUUUUGCGCACGUCGUAUGAACCACAGCACAAGGUUACUGGCACAAUCCAUUGUCCUUCCCCAGGAGAACCGCUUGACAAGAAACGAGACUGUAAUUUUAAAAAAAUGAAUUUAGUUAGUUCCCAAAAUGGCAGGUAAAAAGGUAUAACUAAGACAUCCAGCAAGGAAAAAAAUAAGUUUAUGAACCUGCUCAAGUUCCAGUUUGCCAUCUUUUAGUUUGGCUGAGACAACAGGAUAUCCCAUUUGCUUUGUCCAAGAACUCAUAAGCUUGUUCACAGGCUCUCCUGAACCCUCUUCCAAAGCGGUCCACAAGUCUUCUGUCUUUGCGUUUGAGUAAGCAUGACGUUUAACGUAUGCAGCAAGCGACUUCUGCUUACCAUAUAAAUAGAGUAAGAAGUUAUGGAGACAUUGGGGAAAUUGACAAUAGAUGCCACCAUAUUUUUCCAUAAAAUAAUAUGAGAGUAUAAGAGAAAAUUACUAAGAGCAGAACCUGAAAAACUUCAGCACCAAGAUAACUUUGUAGCAUGCGGAUGACAGAUGCACCCUUCCUGUAGCUUAUUGCAUCAAAUAUUUCAUCAAUUUCAGAAGCAUGAUUAACCUCCACCUGAGGAAAGUUCAGAUUUAUGAUAAAUAGGUAAUAAUAGUGUCACAUUUAAUAACAUAUAUACUUAUUUUGGUUACCUCUAUUGGGUGAGACUCCUCAAGCCCAUCUAGCCUUAGACCCUCAGUAGAUUCAUCUAAAAACUGGGUCCAGAUUUUCCACUCAGGGAACAAACUAUCAGUAGCCAAGUAGCUGACCUGAAAUAGACAAGGAGUAACAAAACAUUCACAACAGAACUCAAAAUCAUUAUAAAUACAAAGGCCUAGAGUUGCAAUGUACCCAAGUAGCAAAACCCUCGUUCAGCCACAGAUGAGUCCACCACUCCAUAGUGACGAGAUUGCCAAACCACUGGUGGGCCAGUUCAUGAGCAACUACAGUCGCAACCUAGCAGCAGAAGUUAAAUGCUUUAGAUAAAUCACAAGAAAAUCUUUUCUGAUAAAUUAAAAGGACACGUUUGCAGUACCCUUUGUUUGUUAGAAGCUGCUGAAUGUUGCUCAUCAUAAAGAAGAGCUGUUUCACGGUAUGUAACUAAACCGUAAUUCUCCAUAGCUCCAGCAGCAAAAUCCGGGAUCGCAAUCAUAUCGAUUUUGGGAAGGGGAUACGGCACAGCAAAGUACCUACAAGAAUAAUUGGUGUCAUUUUGAAACGAAUAUGAUUGAUGCAAGCAGAUGUACUUUCAAAACCUACUCUUUGAACAGAUCCAAAGUCUUUGCACCAACAUGUAAUGCAAAUUUCCCUUGGUCAGCUUUGCCCACUUGACAGUACACUCUGACUUUGAUCCCUGAGCAAAAGAUAGACACUUGGUUUAGAGGUUUGACUAAACAGGAGAUAAUAAGGAAUAAAAAUUAAUUUUUACCAUCGGAUGUGUGAUCUUCCACGUAGUCAAACAAACCAACAACAAUCGCCACCAAGUAUGUAGACAUUAUCGGUGACUCUUGAUAAGAGACAACCUUCACGCUCCCAUUAACUUUCUCCUCCACAACGGGCAUGUUGGAGAGCGCCACCAAAUCAGAAGGCACCUCCAGUGUUAUCUUAAAGGUAGCCUAUUGUGAAAACAAAAACAAUAUGCUCUUCAUGCUGAUAAAAGUGGAGGCAAAGAGAAGAAAAAAAAAAGUACCUUGCAAGCAGGUUCAUCCCAGCAGGGGAAGCAUCUCCUAGCAUCGGCUGGUUCAAACUGAGUAACGGCCAUGUUCUUCUUCUCGCCGUUAUGUUCGUAGGUACUGCACACCAAGAGGACACUUUGAGGUACAAACCCUUAUCUAUGUAAACUUCUUACUUACAGAAAUGUAAAAAAAAAAUUCACCUUUUGUAGAAUCCCUUCAUCUUGUCACUGAGUAUUCCAUCAAAAGCCAUUUGUAGAACUCCAACUCCAUGAGGAAGAUUCUCAGCAAACUCAAGCACAAGAAUCUCAUCCUCUUCAAAGAGUGACACUUUAGGAGCUGCAAGCGCCUGCUUAAACAUAAAAAGUAAUCUCUUUUAUAAAACGAAACAUAACAAGUAACAAGCCAAACACUCUUUUCACAAUCCAAUCAAAACCCGAGAAGACAGACAUCUUUUUAUAGCUAAGAUCGAAAGUACAUAUCCAAAUCAUAAAGACAGUAACUCCUAAUCACAUUGUCGGAAUCUGAAUCCACAUCAUUAUUACAACAACAACAACAACAACAAAAAAAAAAGAGCCAAAAUAGAGACAGUGGUCGGAGCGUUGAAAUUAAUACCUGAGAGGAGUUAUGAGGAGUGAAGGAAACGGAGGCAUCGUUGAACGCGAGAUCAGCAGCGUUGAGGACGAUGAAACGAGUAUCGGCGACUACAUCGAGAUCGAUCGCUACCGUUCCGGUGAAAGUACAGGCGACGAGAUCGGGAGUGAGACGGAGAUCGUAGCGCUUGGGGACGGCGAACUUGGGGAGGCGAGGUUGACCUUUGAACUGAUCCAUCUUCUCUUUUUUUUUUUUUCUUUUUUGAGGUUGUUUUCGCUAAUCCGAGGUGUAGUGUGUAUCCUUAAAUAAAAUAAAAACAAAAAAUUGCAGUGAAGGAAGUGUUUUAUGUCACGCCACGCGAGAUGAUGAUGAUCAUCACCACACGUGAUUGGAUUCCCUUUGUACGUAACUUACAAGUUAAAAAGCCCACUAUACGCUAUUGGGCCUUAACCGUUGAAUACCGUGUUUAUUUUAUUUUAGCGAAAACGACGUCGGUUAGGUAGCUUACAAGUUGGAAAGCCCACGUUACGCUAUUGGGCUUUAAGGUUUUCUUUCUAGCGAAAACGACGUCGGUUUUAGAGUUUCCCCACACUAUCUCGGAAACUUCCGUCGUGUGGUCGUCGUGCGUGUGAUUAACUGGUUCAAGGAGAGAAGUACUUACUGCUCACAGUCUCGUGGAUGGAAUCUGAGGUUUACGGGUUUUAGCGAAUUUACGGGUUUUAUUCUUCAGACAUACCUUUUUUUUUGUUCCGGUCUGAAUCAAACUGUGUCUUCCUGUCCUGAUCUGACAAAACGGUAAAAAUUUCAAAUUUUUUACAAAACGUUUCUGCUUCUGCGAAUUGAAAUUCUUCAGCUUGAAGCUUUUGUAUUGUUCCUGAUUUGUCUCUAUUUGAUUUAUGUUUGUUUGAUCUUUGGCAAUUCACAAGGCGUCAUUACAUAAUUUUUACAGAACAGAGUUGAAGACUUUCUCUUGUUUGGUUUCUCUCUUUGUAGAUCAUCUUGUUGAAUAUGGGCUUGUUGAAGAAAAAGGAUUCAACUUCUGCUAGCUCCUCUGCUUCACCCUGUACUGAUUUGCGAAAUGCUUACCACAACUGCUUCAACAAGUGAGUUUGAACUUUGGACCGUUGAAUCUUCUCUUCGUUUGAGAUCGUAAAGUUACAUCCUUUAUUUUUGGUUCUGUGAAGAUGGUAUUCAGAGAAGUUCGUGAAAGGUCAAUGUGAUAAAGAAGAGUGUGUUGCUGAGUGGGAUAAGUACAGACACUGUCUCUCGGUAACUCCCAGCUCUGUUCAUGUUGUGUGUAAUCCAUUCCAUAAGCUUCUCUUUCUGAGUAUUGUUUGUUUCUGUUUACAUGUAUAUGUCAAACAGGAGAAUCUAGAUGGUAAACUUCUCACUCGCAUGUUGGAAGUCGAUGGUGAGCUGAACCCAACAAAGCAAAGCUGAUUCAAAAGAAUCCAGUUCGAUGAUACUUUAUGUUUCACCAUUACAUUUGUCUCUUUGAAACAGUUCCGUUGAGCAACUUUUUUAAAAAAAAAUAGGAAAGCAUACGAAUCUAUUACUUAGAAGGAAAUCAAAGUUGAAGGAGAAUGUCUUUAUUCUUUAUUUGGCACUCACGAAUUCAAGAACUGAUUAUUAAGAGAAGAAAGAUAUAGAAUCACUUCUUCUUGAACAGGAAGUGAGAAACCAUCCACUCUUCUCCAUUGCUGUAUCCGAAAAGCUCAGCAACCGCUAUGAAGAAGGUUCUCCAGUAAACCAUCCACUUCACUGCCUCCUCUUUCCCAUAAGUCAUUUUUAUGAAGUUUGAUGAAGUAUGCCAUAAAUUCUUCCUUUUCUUUCAUUAUUUGAAAAAUGUUUUCCCGGGCAAAUAGACUUCCCUCGUAUUACUUUAUGAGCUAUCAUAACUUAUAGCAGUAUUAAGGCUCUACAUAAAUAUGAACGGUUCAUAUCUUACAGUUAUUCCACAAAUUAUACCUGUUAAUUUCAGUUAUGCGACUUAUUCAUGUGACAAUGGUGCUAAUAUAUACUGCCUUGUCGAGCAAAUAUUUGGAUGAUAUAUUGUAGUUCAUGGGAGUGUUUGUCUUUAAUCACAUUUGCGUUAAUUGAUAUUAUCUAUUACCUAGGGGCUAGGAAUUUGCUUGUUAGUGAACUGAUGAAGAAUAGCCACUCUUUGAUCCAUUUUAGGAUAUUUAAGUGAAUUUUGAGUAUUUUUCUAUGAUAAUGUGAGGGGCUUACUGAAUUUUUUGACACUAUCUCAGGUGAAUUCUCCUGCACCUGAAAGAACUAAAUCAGGCACCUCCAGGAAGGUUUGUAAAUAUUGUUAAGUGUAUACUUAAUCCAGCGGGUUUAUAUUCAAGGAUAUGUGAAUGGAUGUUGAUACUCCACACAGCAUAGUAGUGUUUGCUGCUGAAGUAAUGGAUAUAAGAAAGCAUCAUCAAAUGCUGUUGGUUGAUAUAUAUUUUUUUUGUCUGUGACGAAACCUGUUUUUUUUUUUUUUUCAAUGAACGUGACGAAACCUGUUUUUAUUAGAUGUUUCACUUUUGAAUGACAUAUCCUUUUUCCAUUUUGUGCAGAAUCUUGCUCCCAAGGAUUUAAGCUUUGUUGGCUAUACAUACAAGAACUUUGACGCCGUGAAAGGGUUGCGUCAUUCACUUGGUACAUCCAAAAUCCCAUACUUUUAUUAAAUCAUUUUCAACCUCAUACCUAGACCCCUGCAUUUUUCUAGUCUUGAUAGUCUGUUUAAAGUAAAUGAGAUACUGGAGAAUUUACUCUUAAUCAGACACUAUGAAGAAUCUGACUAAUAUCUUUUCCAACUCUGUAGAGAUGGCAAGAACUAUGUCUCUGGAUCGAUCACCAGGUGAGCUGUGUUUCAUCAUUUGAAAACUUCAUGCUUCUUUUGUUUGCCUUUUUGCAUGUUUAAAUCCGAAAGCUUCUUUCACAGAUACGGCUUAACCACAAUCUCAUAUAUAUAUAUAUAUGCAUAUGCAUGUAUAUAGUUUACAUAAAGUACCACUUCCAAUUCACAAGAAAAAAAGAGUGAAAACUGAUAUAAGUCAAAACUGUGUGCAGCUGAGGUGAUGCCUGUGGAGCGGAUAAGCGGGGAAGCAGCAGAGGCUCCUCAGAUGGUAUCAUCGAUGGAUGAUCCAAUGGUAAUUUGAGAUAACCAAAAGUAGUAAUGAAGCAAAAAGAAGACUAACAAUAUGGUUAGCCUUUUCCUGAUGAUUCUGCGUAUUAGAAGAAGAAAGAAAAGGGGGACCUGAGUAAAGUCUUUGUGUUAUAUAAAAGCUGCCCAGGUUGGCUGUAGUAAUGUUGCCUUCUCUAGUGGCAGUUUUAUUGCAACACUUAUAACUCUCUUUACCUUUCUCUGUGUGUAUCAAAAUCAAACUUUUAUUUCUAUAAAUUUGAAGACCCACCAUGGAGUGAGGACUUUUAGAGUGUAUAUUUGAGUUUUGUUGCAAGUCAGAUUUCUAACCAAACUUGGAUACAGAAGUUUGAUGUUUGUUCUGUUUUUCUUUCCUUGUAUCCAAUCCAUCAUUAGAGCCAAUUAGUCAUUAACAAAGAUGGUUCAUAAAAUUUAUAUGAAUCAUACAGAUGUAGUCUUGUCUAAGAGACAAAAACUCAUCAUUUCACAUCUUCGUCUUAUGGUUUAUAGCUAAUCAAAUGGCAACACUAAUCAUCUUCAAAACUGUCUAUAUCGCUGCACUAAUCACCCAAGUCAAAACGAUAUCCAAAAAGGAAACUUUUAUUGAUGGCAAAGUCAAAGUCUGAAAAAGAAACUUCAAAUUCUGUGUUGAGAAGGAAAGAAACAACAAAGGUUUGCAUAGUCACAGAUACUUUAGUUUAUUCAGGAGAUAAAACAACACGAAAGUGUUUUGAGACAUUUAGUUUGAAGAGAGCUGAGCAACGAGGUGUGUGAGAUUGUCUUCCUUUUUGAUACUCUCCACCCAAUUAGCAUUAAUAUGAACCUUUUCAAUGCUCUGCUUCAAGGUUCUUGCCAUUGAAGGCUUCGAUCUCGUUAUGAAAUACUCCUGCACUUCUUUCGCCUUCUCAAACGACGCAAACUGAGACAAUAAAGACAUAAGAGAAUCAGU
rnacentral:lncRNA from 1 species